GAAUGCUGACAUAAGUAACGAUAAAGCGGGUGAAAAGCCCGCUCGCCGGAAGACCAAGGGUUCCUGUCCAACGUUAAUCGGGGCAGGGUGAGUCGACCCCUAAGGCGAGGCCGAAAGGCGUAGUCGAUGGGAAACGGGUUAAUAUUCCCGUACUUGGUGUUACUGCGAAGGGGGGACGGAGAAGGCUAUGUUGGCCGGGCGACGGUUGUCCCGGUUUAAGCGUGUAGGUGUGUGUUCCAGGUAAAUCCGGUUCACUUUAACACUGAGGCGUGACGACGAGGCACUACGGUGCUGAAGCAACAAAUGCCCUGCUUCCAGGAAAAGCCUCUAAGCAUCAGGUAACAUCAAAUCGUACCCCAAACCGACACAGGUGGUCAGGUAGAGAAUACCAAGGCGCUUGAGAGAACUCGGGUGAAGGAACUAGGCAAAAUGGUGCCGUAACUUCGGGAGAAGGCACGCUGACACGUAGGUGAAGUGAUUUACUCAUGGAGCUGAAGUCAGUCGAAGAUACCAGCUGGCUGCAACUGUUUAUUAAAAACACAGCACUGUGCAAACACGAAAGUGGACGUAUACGGUGUGACGCCUGCCCGGUGCCGGAAGGUUAAUUGAUGGGGUCAGCGCAAGCGAAGCUCCUGAUCGAAG
rnacentral:rRNA from 1 species